UGUUUGUUCAGUCAUUUUUAGUAGCCACUUAGUCACAAACACUGGCCAAAUAUUAGUUUUUUGCUUUUUUUCACGCAAAAACAAAUAUGAACGCUAACUUUGGCCAGUGUUUGUGACUAAGUGGAUACUAAAAAAGACUGGAAAUACC